UAGGUUAUGUUUACUGUCAAUAUAAAUACAAAACAAAGAUUGAUAAUUAAUAGUCAAAAUUAAUCCGUGAGAAAAUAAACAUUAAUAAAACAUACUAAAUAAAUGUAACUUUUAAAGCAUGAUUUGAUUCUUCUUAGGUUCCAGAAACUGAAAGCUCUAGAUAUGUAUUCUAAUGUAUCCACAGGCCCUAGUUCAAGGAAGUAUAGAAGUUCCCACAAAUUGAAAUCGAGAAAGGACCAAAAGCUUUCAAAGUUGAUAGAGCCACACAGUGGGUCAGAAGAUGAGAGCGAGCAUGAACUAUCUUAUUAUAUUAAUGACCGGGUCAAGUUGAUGAAGGAAGUAUUGAAAAUUAUAAAACCAAGGAAAAUUAAGAGUAUGGCUCCAGAAUGCAUGAAGGAUAUGGAAAUUCAAGAAAUCAACUCAAUUCUGCUAGAGGAACUGCUGGGCAUAUCAAAUAAGAGGCUAAAAUACAUCUUUGAAGCAAAAGUCUUGGAUGAAGAAAGCAGUACAGAUGAAGAUCAAGCUGAUGAUGAUGAUGUAAUAAGCCUCGAUAGUAUUAGUGAUGACGAUUUUGUGGUCAUUUCAGAUGAUGAAGGAGGUAAGCAAAAGUGCAAACAUAAACGGAAACAAAUCAAAGAAGAACCCAGAUCGAAAUCAAAAAAAGUGAAAAAAGAAAAACCAGAUAAAGACAUUGAAACUGUUAAAGAAAGAGACAAAAAACGCCGCAAGCAAAUCGACCAAGUGCGAGAAAAAUUGAAAAACAAAGAAGACAUUACUCAAAAGGAAAAAGAGACUAUGGGAGAAGAGAACUUGAUGAGUGUGCUUGAACUUUUGGAACUACAGGCCCGUGCCAGGGCGAUAAGAUCCCAGCUGGAGUUGGAAAGCAAGAAGAGGCAGGAAGAGCAACAGAGGCUACAAGAAGAAACGAGAAAACAACAGAACGGUAAUGCUGAUGAGGAAGACGAAAUUAUUAUCGAAGUUCCCCAGGAAGUGGAGAUUGUUAUUACUUCGAGUGAUUCAGAAAACGAGUCGAAGUACCCAAAAGUGAAACCUAUAGACAAGCCACCCUCUCCUGAAAAAACUUCAACUAGUAAUAGUCAAAAAACAGCAGCUGAGCAUAAUGAUGAAUCAUCUCAAGACUCUCCUGAAGUUGAUUUAAUUACACAAAAACUAAAUGAACCGGGUGUGAAUUUGAUCCAUAGCAGUGAUAAAGAGGAUGGAGAAGUAUCUGAAGAAGAGUCUAAAAAACGUUGUAAAUUGGACAAGAUUAAAAAUGAUGUAGAGCCGGAGGAGAUAGUGGUGAAACGUGAGAAACAGCAAUCGGAUGGCAGCAGGAGUGAGAAUUUAGUGGAAAAACCAACACAUCUGGAACAAUAUGUCAGAAUGGAAGAAGUAGGCCAGAUCUAAGAGGAAAACUAAGUACAGAAAAAAUGUCUUAGAACAGUUCCAAAAAGCUUUUAGUUUUGAGAUCGAAAGACCGCCGUGAUGCGACAAUGCUCUCCACCAUGCACGAAGAUACAUUAAUAAACUUAUCUAAACUAAACCGAAGACAGGAGAAAGUAUAAAGAAACUUUAUGUGUCAUAUAUUAUAAUGCAAACCUGGAAACGGUAGAUCGGUCAGAUAUGCUGGUUAUAAAAAAUUAUUCUUCCAAUGUGCAGACUUAUGUUCCAUUCAUUGUUAUUAACACGAAGUGAAAAGAACGUUUCCUUAGCAGUUUUUCCUGUAAAUGUUGUUAGUGAGUUAUUAGGAAGCCAUGCACUUCAGCGCGAAAGGCCACCAGCUAUUCCUUCUAUCAAGAAAAGGCUAACAGAACGCCACUUCCCGUCACUAUAAGUUCCACUUAUUUAUCUUGAUACAGAAGAAUCAAAAAGAGCUAUGAGGCGCUGUGUAAUUUGUGCCCAGACCAGUAUUGGAGUGAGAAAAAGAAAAGAAUCGAAAUGUAUGUGCAAAAAUUGUAAUGUAGGUUUAUGUAUCCUCCUUUGUUUUGAGACAUAUGAUACCAUUACAAGUUUAUAAUUUUCAUGUUGCUAAUAAGUUAAGGUUAGAUUUGUAUAUAUGUGUGUUUCAUUUGUAUUAAUAAAAUAUUAUACAUAAGUAUUUAUUUCUACUUAUCAAAACUGUUUUUGGGAUAUUUAAAUAAAAAAAUAAAACCUA
rnacentral:misc_RNA from 1 species